UAAUGAUUUCAUGUUAUGGUUUCUCAUCGGCCAUUAUGAAAGAAAACCAUAAGACACAAAUCCUACCUUCACCACAAGUCAUGCCGAUCUCCUCUGGUUAUUCCAAUCACAGAUCUCCUCUGGUUAUGCCGAUCUUGAAAACACGCAGGGAUUUGCAGUUUGAAUUCGAUUUUACGGUUUUUUAAGAUGCACCUUGCCAGAACUAGGGUUACGAAUGUUUUUUUUCACCUCCUUUCUCUUUGCCUCAUACCAUCACAGGCGUGAAGGUGGUUGUUGCUACUGUUUCUGGCAAUUUGGUAGGGUCGGUUUUCCUCUUUACUAACUUGCACAGGGCUUCUCAUUUUUGUUUCCAUCAAUUCAUCUAUCUCUAACCGAAAACCCUAACAUCAUCCCUUCUAUGAAAUCACCGAUUGGUUCCAGAAAAAAACGCUUCAAUACAACACAGGUGAAAUACUUAAAAGGAACCAGAAAACCCCACCAGAUGUUAUUCCGGUCAGCGUAGAGUUAAGGUGGCUGAGAACAGUUUAUACAAUUAAUAUUGUGCAUGGGAACAUAUUUGUUCAGCUUUUAGCUUUAGUUGGAUUAGUUUUUUGGGUUUGUUUUAAAUGCCGGAAAUUUCAGAACCCUUUAGAAGAAGAAGCGCAACCUCUUCUGCCAUCGGUCCAACUCAGUGAGAUUUCGGAGGAGGUCUUGAAGGCUUAUGACGACAACUAUUCUCAAAAGCCUUCUCUUAUGGCCAUCGUAGGCCAGAUCUAUGAUGUCUCACAACGCUGGUUGAUUUCUUUAAGAUGAUACAGUUGUCAUUGGUAUAUCUGGUGAGCCCCCAAAUCCUUUUAAUCUCUAUUUUCAUAAAUUGGAAUUGGUAUAAUUCGCUUAGAAGACCGGAUUCUGUAUUAAUGAAUUUGGUGACAAAUCUUGCCAUGGCAUCUGUUUCUUGAUUGCAUAGGAAUGUUUUUGCUCAGAUAAAAAAUAUCGGUUGUGAAUUGGAUUGAAGGGCGUGUAAAGUCAGUUGUUUGUGAAUAAGUUAUUACUAAGGAGGUGGCGAGGAAGGUGCUAAAAACUACAGUGCCCACGCUUGUUAGCGAAAACCGUGCUCUUGAACAGACAACCUCAGCCUAGCCACGGUAAAGGAGUCACCAACCACUGCGAGAUAUAUGGUCAGAACCUUGUUGAUGCUUCUCGCUUUUGUUCAGUUGGUCGCAAGUUUGUACAACAUACAUCAUGUUUAAUGGAUCAGCUUGCCAAUCUAUAUCAAGAUUCCUCCAUGUUAACCUUCGAAGGUCAGAAGAUUCAAGGAUCUCAAUACAUUGUUUGUAAGUUGCAGAUGUGUUGGAUCCAAUUAUUGCUCUGGUGUUCUCAUGGCAAAAGAUGGAAUUGAAUUGUGGCCUACUUUACUUGAUGAAGUUCAACCACGAUUUGUCACUGAUGUUGGCCAGUUAUGGUUCCCGUUAUACUUGGUUCUUCGGCCAGGUUGUUAUGAAGAUACCAAUGGUUGUAGUGGCAGUACAAGAUUUCAUACGAGUGUGACACUCGCCUCCGGAACCUGAUUUCACUGACCUUCCACUCUUUCCCCAAACAAGGUUG